rnacentral:lncRNA from 1 species
AGUGCUACAAUGAAAUAAACUACAAACGUAUCUGCAUGCUAAUAAAAACCAAAAUUGCCAGAUAACUCGAAAUAGCUCACCACCUGGACUGCAAGCCUGGAGAAGCCUUAAAAAUACUCUCCAAAAAAGUUGGUAUUUAUACAGAACACUGGGUUUUGUAAAAGCCUUUUUCAGGUGUAGUUUGAGGCCACACUUGACCUCCCAUUUUUGCUUUCAAGCAGAGAACUGCAGUCACUGGGACCUGAAGAGCUCUGCCCAUGUGUGGAUGGUUGCUGGCGUUACUGCCUUGAACUCUCCGUUGAGCAGGGCAGCAGGGAAGCGGCAAGUGUGUGCAGCAGGCAGAGUCCGAGUCCACAGCAGCUGGUCACGAAUCCCAAAGGCCAAGCAAGAGCAAAAGCUGGCUGGGCUGUGAAAAUUGCUCCUCUGAGGUCCUAGGAAACAUCCUAAGGCCUUCACUCUGCAAAUACCCCUUUCAGGAGGAUGAGAGCGCUGCCUGGAGGAGCUCUUCAUCCCACCAGCUGCUCUGGUGUAUUUUCUGCAUUCCGACUGCUGCCUGGACCUGCCUUGGAGAACACUGGCAUCUGAGGCAGCUGCAAUUGUGCACAGUGGUAAGGAACGGAAAGAAAUCUGUCACAAAAGGAAAAAGCAAUCAGCUGUUAAACGCAGCCAAAGUUUCUCGUUUACAGGGCCCCUGCUUUAUGUCUUAAAUGUGACGUUUGCAC